rnacentral:tRNA from 1 species
GCCCCGGUAGCUCAGUCGGAUAGAGCGUUCGCCUCCUAAGCGAAAGGCCGCAGGUUCGAUUCCUGCUCGGGGCACCA